ensembl:lncRNA
AAAGAGCCUGAGCAGGCAAGCCUCAGGGGCUAAUGCAUUAAGAUUCAUGGGUUUGAUAGCAGAUGUUUCUUCAUUCUUUCAGAACCUAUUUAUUUUCCCUAUGUGUGCUAUCUCUUACUUCCAAAAAGGAUCGCAUUUCAAGCUCUGGUCAAGUAACCCUUAUUUCAUAGGAAAAAUACUGACCAUUUUGCUCUUGUUCUUAGUGAGCAGCUGCCUAGUUACAAAUGACACACCUGGUAGCUGGGGAAGAAGGUGUUCUGCUGUGCCUGUUGCUCUGGGAGCUGAUGGGAUCAUGCACUGCUGGGGAAGGAGGAACAAAGCUAUCAGGUCACCUGUCUGCUUGCGGAUGAUGCUAACAAGAGACUCAGGAAAUUUUGCCAGAUGGAACUCUCAGAAAAACCAGCAGUUGUGGACAAGGGGCCUUCAGGCCUGAGUUGAGGUCUGCUCCUUUUACCAAGCCAAACCAGAAAGCCCCAGUUUCAGGACAGUCCAUAUGGCAGAGCUGGCUGGGACAUGAAAAGCCUGGUAAACUUGCUUCUCCAGUCCUCCAGAAGCCUACUUGAUAGGGUAUCAAGAAGUGGGUGUACAAGUAUAGAUGGGGACAACCUCUGAUGAGAUUAUGGCAAUUUUCAGGCAAAACUGAUUUUCUUUUUGAAGAACUGAGUGUGUGGAAAACAAAUGUUCUGCGCAAAAUGAAAGUAAAGUACUUUAUUCUCCAGCUGAGAACAUUCAGAGCCAAAGCAACUCAAAUCUGCUUCCCUAAAUUGCAGAUUUAUUACAUCUGAAGACACAAGAACUUUUGCUGCUGAUGAACAAGGCAAAUUUCAUGUAGCAAGAUCUAGCACCUUUUUAGCUUUUUCCUUGCAUGGCCUCUAAAAGCUUCCAUUUCUGCAAAUAGAAAGAUGCUGAGAUGAUUUUCCCCAGUGGUAAGGUAUGCCAGGAUAUGGUUACGUCAACUCAGUCUGAAAGAAAUGUUUGAACUUCCCCCUAGGAGAUUACCCAAUAAGGUGGUGAGCGACUGCAAGAGAAGAAAAAAGAAACAAGGAAGAGAAUUUAUGUUAGAGACACUGUCCUCCUGCUAAUGCCAAACUAGUGCUGUCAUCUUCCUUGGAGUAGGCUGACAAUUCCAAUUCGAUGGAUCUAGGAUAUUAGUACAAAACACAAAGAUGUAUUUCUCAUGUUUGUCUAGUGACUCUUCCCUAGACAGUGUUUGUGCAAGCUGUUUCUGGAAGAGAAGAUUAAAUGCAAAUCCUUGGAAUAAGUGUACUGGUAAGAUUCAGUUGUCCGUAUGUUUUAAAUGCAGGGCUGUGUUGGUUUUAUACAUUUGAUUGGUAGAAGUAGCAGUAAGCCAUAUUCUUAUGGGGAAGAGGUUGUAUUGGUACAGUUCUCUACCACAUGAUCAUAGUUCUAACUCACUUGUUUCAAAAUACAGUGGUAGGAAGAAUAUUCCUACUAGGCAGUUUUGGGGUUUAAAGCAUUGUUUUUUUCUGACAAAUGUGUGGUUAAAAUGUGACUUUCCAUCCUUCUGACUGUUCUCCCUGAGGGGUUCAGAACCCUCUUCACAUCAUAGAAAACUGACAGCCACUUGGAUAACCACAAAUCCUGGCUCCAACCAGGCUUCCUGCUCUCCUUUCCCUAAAAUGCCCUGGAGAAAAGGGCAAUGCAAAACUCUGAUGGGGGAAGGAAAAGAGAGAAAAAUCCAUGAAACUAAAGGAAAAAGUCUGACUAAUGUUAUAGUGUUAGGUAAGAGUAGCUAAACUCUUAAAGUGAUCUUUCCUCACUGACAGAGAGAAGCAGGUAAACUCUCUUUCUCUGUACUUAGUCUCAGUUUUCUAGUGGCAAGGGUUUUCUCUCCUGCACCUCCUGAACAAUUUCAAAAGGAAAUCACCUAUUUGUUUUCCCCAGAGAUGAAAAUUUUAAGAGCUGUUAUAGAAUAACAUAGCCUUGUCAUUAAUAUUGAACAAACAGAUGGUGCCAUCUGACAGAGCUCACAUCACCACACAGUGGCAGCCAGCCUUAUGUACUCCAAACAAAUUACUGUGGAAGGCUAGGUAAUUAAGAGAGACACGGAGCUUGUACCCUAAAAAAUCUUUCUACUUUCAAGCCAACUAAUUAUAAAUGCUUUUGCGAGCCUUUUUGUUAUCUAAGCAUUCUUAUCUACAAAGAAAGAGAUGACUUUUCAAAAUUCCAAACUCUUAGAUUUGCUGAAUAUAAUUUUGAUAGUCCCUGUUGUUUCUUUUUGUAAGAUUGCUGAGCUCUUCUGGUCAGCUAUCUAGGAUGUGGAAUACUAAAUGCAAUGACAACCAGCUUUUGCUGGCAGAAGAAAAGCCUGGUAAAGAAGCCUGGUGAGUAACAGAGAAGAAUGUCUGAAAAGGUAGACAAUGGCAAUGAUAACCUAAUUCAACACCUGUGAUCCCAGAUGUAAUGACUAUACUGACUUUAAACUCAUGCACUGAGAGUUACCUAUCUUCUGCAGGUAGCAGCCCAUUGAAGCUUACCACCUGAGUGCAUAAAUACCAGGAAGAGAUAAAGUAUUACAAAUGAAAACAAGUUUCUUUUCAAGUUUAGGAAAGUUUCAUCAAAACCCCUUAUUCCCCUCUAACUCCGUGUGUUUCCAACGCAGCUGUACGUGACCCACUGCUUUAAUCAGCCCUUGCAAGCACAUAAUGGCAAGCAGGAAAACACAG